rnacentral:rRNA from 1 species
UUAGAGAGUCAGAACACACUCCCAGGC